rnacentral:rRNA from 2 species
UCGAACGGUGAACACGGAGCUUGCUCUGUGGGAUCAGUGGCGAACGGGUGAGUAACACGUGAGCAACCUGCCCCUGACUCUGGGAUAAGCGCUGGAAACGGCGUCUAAUACUGGAUACGAGUAGCGAUCGCAUGGUCAGCUACUGGAAAGAUUUUUUGGUUGGGGAUGGGCUCGCGGCCUAUCAGCUUGUUGGUGAGGUAAUGGCUCACCAAGGCGUCGACGGGUAGCCGGCCUGAGAGGGUGACCGGCCACACUGGGACUGAGACACGGCCCAGACUCCUACGGGAGGCAGCAGUGGGGAAUAUUGCACAAUGGGCGGAAGCCUGAUGCAGCAACGCCGCGUGAGGGAUGACGGCCUUCGGGUUGUAAACCUCUUUUAGCAGGGAAGAAGCGAAAGUGACGGUACCUGCAGAAAAAGCGCCGGCUAACUACGUGCCAGCAGCCGCGGUAAUACGUAGGGCGCAAGCGUUAUCCGGAAUUAUUGGGCGUAAAGAGCUCGUAGGCGGUUUGUCGCGUCUGCUGUGAAAUCCCGAGGCUCAACCUCGGGCCUGCAGUGGGUACGGGCAGACUAGAGUGCGGUAGGGGAGAUUGGAAUUCCUGGUGUAGCGGUGGAAUGCGCAGAUAUCAGGAGGAACACCGAUGGCGAAGGCAGAUCUCUGGGCCGUAACUGACGCUGAGGAGCGAAAGGGUGGGGAGCAAACAGGCUUAGAUACCCUGGUAGUCCACCCCGUAAACGUUGGGAACUAGUUGUGGGGUCCAUUCCACGGAUUCCGUGACGCAGCUAACGCAUUAAGUUCCCCGCCUGGGGAGUACGGCCGCAAGGCUAAAACUCAAAGGA